UACGGAGGGUGCAAGCGUUAUCCGGAUUUACUGGGCUUAAAGGGCGCGUAGGUGGGUAGGUAAGUCAGUGGUGAAAUCUUCGAGCUUAACUCGGAAACUGCCAUUGAUACUAUUUAUCUUGAGUACUCUGGAGGUAAGCGGAAUAUGUCAUGUAGCGGUGAAAUGCUUAGAUAUGACAUAGAACACCAAUUGCGAAGGCAGCUUACUACAUAGUUAUUGACGCUGAGGCACGAAAGCGUGGGGAGCAAACAGG
rnacentral:rRNA from 1 species